UACGUAGGGUGCGAGCGUUGUCCGGAUUCACUGGGUUUAAAGGGUGCGUAGGUGGGUUGGUAAGUCAGUGGUGAAAUCCCCGAGCUUAACUUGGGAACUGCCAUUGAUACUAUCAGUCUUGAAUACCGUGGAGGUCAGCGGAAUAUGUCAUGUAGCGGUGAAAUGCUUAGAUAUGACAUAGAACACCAAUUGCGAAGGCAGCUGGCUACACGGAUAUUGACACUGAGGCACGAAAGCGUGGGGAUCAAACAGG
rnacentral:rRNA from 1 species